AUUCUGCCCAUGCGGGGAAGGAUGAGAAGCUUCAACCAAGGUGCGACUCGAGCGCCAGCGAGAAAGCGUUGCCGCAGGCAACGACCCGAAGGGUGAAGCGCGCAGCGCUGAGUAAUCCUUCCCCCACCACCA
rnacentral:sRNA from 1 species